GUGCUUGCUUCAGCAACACAUAUCUUGGAACAAUACAGAAAAGAUUAACAUGGCUCCUGCAUAAGGAUGACAUGCAAAUCAGUGAAGUAUUCCUUAUUUUU
ensembl:snRNA U6 U6 spliceosomal RNA